UACGUAGGGGGCAAGCGUUGUCCGGAUUUAUUGGGCGUAAAGAGCUCGUAGGCGGCUCGGUAAGUCGGAUGUGAAACCUCCAGGCUUAACCUGGAGACGCCAUCUGAUACUGCCGUGGCUUGAGUCCGGUAGAGGAGCAGGGAAUUCCUGGUGUAGCGGUGAAAUGCGCAGAUAUCAGGAGGAACACCAGCGGCGAAGGCGCUGCUCUGGGCCGGUACUGACGCUGAGGAGCGAAAGCGUGGGGAGCGAACAGG
rnacentral:rRNA from 1 species